UACGGAGGGGGCAAGCGUUGUUCGGAAUUAUUGGGCGUAAAGAGUAUGUAGGCGGCUAGAUAAGUCAGACGUGUAAGCCCAUGGCUCAACCAUGGAAUUGCGUUUGAAACUAUUUAGCUUGAGUGCAGGAGAGGAAAGCGGAAUUCCCAGUGUAGCGGUGAAAUGCAUUGAUAUUGGGAAGAACACCGGUGGCGAAGGCGCUUUCUGGUCUGUUACUGACGCUGAGAUACGAAAGCCAGGGGAGCAAAGG
rnacentral:rRNA from 1 species